GUCAGAAUCGGAAAUAUUAUCGGAAUCGGAAAAUAAUUCCGGAAACGGAAAUAUUAAAUAUUUGUUCGAAACGAAAAUUAAUUCCGGAAUAGGAAAUAUUAAAUAUUGUUCGUAUCGGAAAUGAAUUCCGGAACCGGGAAUUUAAUCGGAAGCGCAUAGUACGAAUUAGCAUCGGACGAGGCUUGCUAGACGAAGGCCCAACACGAAGCCAGGCCCGCGCCCAGCAAGCCGAGCGCCCAACAUGGAGCUGCCACAGCCUCGUCAGGCCCAGCGCAAGGCCAGGCCCAGCGAGGCCUUUGGCGCGUGCACGCUGAGCGUGCUGUUGGGCUGCGAGCAGCGACUGCUCGUGUGGGCCGCAAGGCCUACGCGGUUGGUGCGAUGCUCGUGCCCAUACGAUGCUCAUGUUCGUAACGAAUCCUAAUCAUAUCGGAAUUCGUGUAUUGAUUAAAUCCUAACCCUAAUAGAUUAAAUUUAUUAUUUAGAGUUCAAAUAGGAUUCUAAUUAAUAAAUCCAAAUCCUAGUAGGAUUAUAAUUCCUUUUCCAUACCUCUAUAAAUAGGUGCCUAGGGUCAUAAUUUAUAGAUACAAUUGAAGUAUUCAAAGGUAAGAUUUUCAAGAAAAAUCAGCCACUCUCUUGCCCCUAUUUAGCCGAAAUCUAUACUACCUUAAGGGCGAUUCUAGUUGGUCAAGCUUAAGGCGGAUCCGGACGUGCUGUGGACUAUCUACGGAGGGACGAAACUUAGAGUCCUAAAGAGUUGUUCUUGUUCGGUUCGGGCGCAGCUAGGGAGGGCACGCAACGAAGUGUAUGCGUCUAAACUAUGCUAAAUGAUUAUGUGUAAAUAAUAUGUUUUCCUGGCUUUAUGGUUUUUCUGCAUGAUUUAUGUUUUGUCAUAUGAAUCAUAACCUAACAAAUCGAUGACAUUGAAAAAGAUGAAUAUCUCGUAAUAGAGUCUAAACCGGUGAAAACGAGUAAAAUAGUUACAAGGAAGAGGGAAAGAUUAUCUUCUAUACUCGAAAAAAGAUCAUCAGGCGAAGCAAAGGUAUACCAAAUUAAAUUAGUAGUUCAUUGUGGUCAUUGGUAUAGUCUUGCUUAAAACAAUAUAGGGAAGGGUCCUUCAACGUUAUUAGGUACCCACCAAAGGCUGACAUCCAGAUUAAUACUUGGUACAAUGAAUAUUUCAUGCGUUGGUAGUGUCCUUUAUUUUUAUUCGGUACCCACCAAAGGGUGACAUGCAGAUUAAUGCUUUCUUAUAUGUUCUUGGUACAAUGAAUAUUUCAUGCUUUGGUAGUGUCCUUCAACGUUAUUCGUACGUACCCACCAAAGGGUGGCAUCUAGAUUAAUACUUGGUACAAUGAAUAUUUCAUGCUUUGGUAGUGUCCUUUAACUUUAUUAGGUAACCACCAAAGGGUGACAUCCAGAUUAAUGAUUUCUUAUACGUUCUCAGUAGUGUCCUUACCUAUAUCCGGUAGCGACCAAAAAUAGAGUUAAUGAGUUUUAUUCAGUUGAAACAUGACUUGUUUCUACCAUUAUAUUCGAAAUAAGAUCAUCAGGCGAAGCAUAGGUACCAAAUUAAAUUAGUAAAUCAUUGUAGUCAUUGGUAUAGUCUUGCUUAAAAAAAUAUAGGUGUAGACACCUACUUUUGUCCCCAUUCCCGAAAGGGAAGGUUCGAUGAUGAAAGCGUAAAUCUCCACUUGACAACGCAUCUCAUAUAAAAUAACGAAUCUCAAUUCCCCUUUUCAUUUCACCAAAAACCUGCUAUUUAUGGAAACCUGCUAAAAAUAGUAACUGCCGUAAUGGCAGUUGUUAAAAGUGGCAAAUCAUAAAAUAUAGAAACCUGUCAGAAUUAGGUGUUGCACUCCAACAUAAAUCAUAAAUGAGAUAGAAAUUACGAGAGAAUCCUAUUCCUAAUAUGAUUCAAAAGUAAGAGUCACGUAUUAAUUAAAAUCCUAACGAGCCUAGAGUUCGUAACGGGCCCAGACGCAUUCCGUCAUAAGGUUAAUACGCACUAAAAGACUCAAUUAAAUCUCAAAUACUCCGGAUUCUAGGAAUCCGAAUCUGACUAAGAAAAAACAGCCCAGAUCCUAUUUUCAACGCCUGGCUCUGGGCGCCGAAAUCUUCGGCGCCCAGGCUUGGGCGCUGAAAAUACCUGGUACGUGUUUUUUCCUAAUUCCUCGUGGAUUAGAGUUCUGCAAUUCUAUCUUUCCACGAACUCUUUUCUAUAAAUAGGGCCUUAAGUUCGACGUGAAAAGGACACAACAACACACAAUUAUAUUUCUGAGUAUUGACUCUGAACCCCUAAGCCUAAGCCUCACGCUGCAAAACCGAUCACGCGUUCUGUCGCAAUUGAUCCAUAAAUCGAACAGAACGUAUCCCGUCCCAUAAUUUGAGAUUCGUUAAAUAAAAGGAGAAAUAGCAAAGUCAAAGUGGUUAGUUUUCUGAGAACCGUGACACACAUCUCAAGGGUGCGUCGUAAUGUGUCCCUUUUCCAUGGUUUAAUUGCUUUCCUCGCCCUUUUAUGAACUGUUAAACUAACUAAAAUCUGAUUGUUCGAUCACGCUUAAUAAAUAUGAUAUUUUUGGGAAAUUGGAUUAUCAUGCUAGAUCCCUUAAAACAAUCUAAAUCAGAUAAUCGCGUUCGAUCUAGUACUAUAUGUUACAUAUUGUUAAAAUCGACUCAGAUUAGUUUAAUAGUUAACGCAUGUCCCUUCAAUUAUUUAUGCUGAGCUAGUAAGGAUAUCCUGCCUCUGGAGUUAUCGAAGAGCGAGUACUCCACUCGGUAGUUACAGUCACCCGAACCCUCAAUCUCUACCCUGCGGGUGUACGUUGAGCGAUCCCCACCACCAGGGAUCACAAGGGAACCUUCGGCCGUCGUGGUCAAACAUAAUUGCACUCCCUUUAUGUCACGAUAACCGGGUUUGUCAGUUUUUCUCAUUGUCGUUAAAAACUGAAUGACGACUCCUAUAUUACUAGUCAAUUGGGUGUAAACUCACAGGAAAUCCAAUUACACUUGAUUUGACAAAAAGAAGCGUCACACGCACGAGGGACGAGGUCACGCAUUAGCCUCGUGCUUUUUCGACCCCCUCACAAUAGGGCAGUGUCCUUAACCCUUAUUUGGUGCCCACCAAAGGAAAGGGUCACAUCCAGAUUAAUAAUUUCUUGGUACAAUGAAUAUUUCAUGUUUUGGUAGUGUCCUUCACCGUUAUUCGGUAUAUCCACCAAAGGGUGACAUCCAGAUUAAUACUUGGUAAAAUGAAUAUUUCAUGCUUUGGUAGUGUAGACACCUACUUUUGUCCCCAUUCCCGAAAGGGAAGGUUCGAUGAUGAGAACAUAAAUCUCCACUUGGCAACGCAUCUCCUAUAAAAUAACGAAUCUCAAUCACCCUUUCAUUUCAUCCAAAACUGCUAUUUAUAGAAACCUGCUAAAAAUAGUAGCUGCCGUAAAAGAUAAUUGCUAAAAGUAGUAAGAAUAAAAAGAUAGAAACCUGUCAGAAUUAGGUGUUGCACUCCAACAUAAAUCCUAAAAGAGAUAGAAAUUGUAAAAGGAAUUCUAUUCCUAUCGCAAUUCGAUAAAAGAGUUAACGUAUUAAUUAAACUCAUAACGAACCUAGAGUUCGUAAAGGGCCCAGACGCAUUCCGUCGUAAUUUGAUACGCACCAAAUAACUCGGAUUAAGUCUCUUAAUGGACUCCGUACUUUAGAGUCCAAUCUGACAAAGAAUUUUGCCCAGAUCCUAUUAUCAACGCCCAGUCCUGGGCGCCGAAAUCUUUGACGCCCAGUGCUGGGCGCCGAAAAUACCUGGGACGGAUUCUUUUCCUAAUCCGUUUCGUAUUCAUAUUCCUGAAAAUCUAUCUUUCUACGCCACUUUUUCCUAUAAAUAGAGCCCUAAAGCCGACGUGAAAAGAACAACACACACACAAUUCAUAAUCUGAGUAUUGACUCCAACCCUAAGCCUAAGCCUCACGCUGCGAAAUUCAUCCCGCGUUCUGUCGCAAUCGACCCAAAAGUCGAACAGAACGUAUCCUGUCCCUUGUAGCUGAUGAAUUAAGCCUAAAUACUGGAACACUGCUCAGAAACCCGAGAUUCGUUAAAUAAAAGGAGAAAUAGCAAAGCCAAGUGGUUAGUUUUCUGAGAACCGUGACGCACCUCUCAAGGGUGCGUCGUAAUGUGUCCCUUCGUAUGAUUUAAUCGCUUUCAUCACCCUUUUAUAAAAUUGUUAAACUAUUAAUUUGAUUGAUCUAUCACGCCUAAUAAAGAUAGUACCUUGGACAAUUGAACUAUCAUGCUAGGUACCUUAAAUCAAUCUAAACAAGAUAAUCACGAUCGAUUUAGUAUUAUGUGUUGCAUAUUGCUAAAAUCAAUUCAGAAUAGUUUAAUAGUUAACGCAUGUCCCUUCAAUUAUUUAUGCUGAGCUAGUAAGGAUAACCUGCCUCUGGAAUUAUCGAUGAGCACUCCUCUCGGUAGUUACAGUCCCCCGAACUCUCAAUCUCUCCCCUGCGGGUGUAUGUUGAGCGAUCUCCACACCAGGGAUCACAAGGGAACCUAUGGUCGUCGUGGUCGAACAUAAUUGCACUCCCUUUAUGUCACGAUAACCGGGUUUUGUCAGUUUUUCUCAUUGUCGUUAAAAACUGAAUGGCGACUCCUAUAUUACUAGUCGAUUGGGUGUAAACUCACAGGAAAUCUAACUACACUUGAUCUGACGACGUCACGCCCACGAGGGACGAGGUCAUGCAUUAGCCUCGUGCUUUUUCGACCCCCUCACAGUGGCGACUCCACUAGGGAUACUUAAUGAAAACUCGUGCUCGUAGGUAAUCAAAAUAGCCGAAGGGUGAAACGAUCCUACUCCACGUUUAUUUCCUUAUCAAGUUGGAACGACCUGAAAAUCAGCAUAUUAAUGUGAACGGACAGAACCGCAUAACAAAUCCGGCUCCCUUGGCAUGUUUCAUCUCGGGAGUUGGGACUAAGGAUGCCCAUCGCCAACUGGGGGUGCAUACGCUUCGAAUGUUGUCCACUCGGCACUUUUCGCUAGUAGUACACCCGUCCCAAACCCAAUCGCUCGCCCACUAAGGUCCCUCUCAUUGAUGCAUGCCCCCUUGGCUUACAUCGUGAUUGGCCUCUUGGGACGAAAUUCGUCUGUUGAAUGCACUACCUCGACCGGGGCAUGUGUUGGAUCUACGAUAGAAGCGGUACCAAGCUGGCGUAAAUGUUACUCAUAGAAGCCUAUCAUAAACUACAUGACAUUUUAUUUUUUUUGCUUCAUGUUGUAAUGCUAGUUAUGUGUAGCGAAUUACGUGAUUGUGUUGUGAUUGUGUGUGACAAAUAACGCUAGAAAACCAACGACCCUAAAAAUUUCCCAAACAUUCAUAAACACCAAUUGGCCAAAGAGUUAUACCUAAAUACGUGUCCCGCAGUCCCGGGCGAUCGCCACAAAAAUAAGCGACGCCCAGGACGGCCUGUAACGGAUCCCACAACGCUGCACAAUGCGUAAAGGACGUUAUUAGCAACCACGCAAAAUUAAGUCGUAUGUACAAAAAAAUAGACGAACAGAAUACGAGUACCAGUCACGGACGCAUUUUCAGCGCCCCUGGCUGGGCGCCAAUUAUUUCAACGCCCCUGCUGGGCGCUGAAGUUGCUGCUUGGCCUUUUGGCCAGGCACCGCAGCCUCGGUGCCCGCGCAUAAAAUAUACGUAGCAAUAAAAAAAAUUCGCAACAAAUUUGCUACAAGGACGUAUGGAAAAAGGCACUCGAUUCUAAGAACGACUUAUAAAAUAAAUAACUCCUUGUGUCGUCACUAGGCCUCCUAUGACGACUAUGUUCGGCACCAAAACCGAGCAUGCUAAUUAAAAUGACCUUGAAUGUCACAUGGGAAAAGUAUUCAAAAAAUAAUGUUCAAAUAAAGUUUUCAAGAAAAAAUAAUGUUCGAAUAAAAAAUAAAUAAAUCCGAGUCUAGACUAGGCUAUGCCAAAGUACAAUCUAAAUCAUAAGUCUUAGUUGUCUUAUACAUAGAAUCGGUCCUAAUGCUUGGUGUCGUUCUGCAAGUUAAAAGGUUAAACCAUAUUGAGUCUCCCUUCCCAACAUUUAAAAGAAAUCAAUAAGCACCCAUAUGUAAUUUUCAUCCCUUGCUAAGAAUCUACGGCCUCAAUACUCUCUCUCACCAAUAAAAAGAAUAUAUUAUGUAAUUCAAAGUAUUUGCAAAAUGGAAACAGUCACAUUCUGAAAAUCAUUCCUCCAUAGUCGCACAACCCCCAAAGUGAAACUAAGAUGUCAAUACCAUUGGCAAAAAAAAAAAAUUAAUGGCCUCAAGGCUUAUGAUCACAUUGGGUCACGACUAUUAUAGUCCUCUCGAGCCACUCGCUCCUUGAAAUACCCCUAAGUACGGACUAAAAGAUUUUCCAGGAAUGCAACAUGACGAACCAUGAAAAUACCCAAAUCGGCAUACCAUAAGGCUACCAUUGGGGUAAAGCAAUACACACUAAGAGGGAAGCCGCACUAAUGAUUCUAGUCUUGCAAAAAUGAAAAUUCGAUCUCCCCAACUAACUACCUUGCCAACAUUAAGCAAAAUGGCGCAUGACAAAUGAACACCCAAGGGUUAAAAUCUAAAGUGUCAACCAACGAAAGUUAUGGUCCAAUUAGCCUAAGUCUGAGAGUCGCUUGGUCAAGUCAUUAUUUUGAGUCUAGGCCACCUCCUUGUAUUCGUACACGGGUUAUAAUCAGAAAAAUUAAUGAAAGUUCGAGUCUAAAUCACAACUUCCAAUUAAAUCCCGGAAACUGGAAUCUGAAAAGAAGCAAAAAAAUUAUUUUCGAUGUAAUUCUUUCGUUAAAUUUCAAUAAAGUAAAAACAAUAUUUUGAAUCUACGCUAUUUGCACAUUUUAAGAAACGACUAAAUACGCUUGCAAAGUAAGACAAUUUAAAGGUCCACCCUAGGCCUACUAAAAUUAAAGGUCCACUAUAGGCCUACCAAACGAGGCUCACUCAGUCUCGCCUCGUGACUCAAAGACCACAACCAUCUACCUUUUAGCCCAAAUUAAAAAAAAUUGAAGGAUUUAUGUUGGGGAGAAAUCCCAAGCAAAAAGAAAAAAAGAGAAAGAGAAAAGGGAGAGAGAAAAGAGCGAGCCAUGAAAUACUUAAAGAGAAAGAGAAAAGGGAGAGCGAAAAGAGCGAGCCAUGAAAUACUUAGCCCGUACCUCCCAAAGUGCGAAAUUUACCCAAGUAAACGAAGGAAAAGAAUUGAGUCAACCAAUCCGAAUCAUACCACAGAAACUACAUAAAGUUCUACGAUCUUCUACCCUUUCCAAUCCUCAUGCUUGACUAAUACCUAUACAAAUUAUCAUAUCUCAUUGAACCCAUCUUUCAAGCCGUCUUGAGUCACGAAUAAAAAAAAAGACAAAUGAAAAGUACAUUCUACGCUUAACGUAAAAAAAAAAAAUGAUGAAAAAGAAACUUUGCAAAGCGCCUUUAAAGUUCGUCUAAAAAGAAAAAAAAAGCAUUUAGCGCACAAAAAAGAUUCGCAAAUAUUUGGCACAAAACGAAAAGGAGCAGCGCAAAAAGGCAGCCCAGAACACGUUUUCAAAGCCCAGGCCUAGGCGCCAAAAAUAAUAACGCCGAGCCCUGGGCGCCGCUCUUGCUUAUCACUUUUCAACUCCCAAUUCCUAAAAGUGUCCGUAUAUUUUCAUAUAUACAUGCGGAAGAAUAACGAACACUUGGGAGGUAGAAGAUCAUAUAAAAUACGCAAAAUACGCGCACUCCAAAAUUUUCGUACACUUAUUUCACCCUAUUUCAAACAUUACGAUUCCACUCGAACGUACUUGUUUAAAAUCGGCAUUCUAAGAAACCAUUUUCUGGUUAAGAACUACGCAAGACCUGAUUCCAAAUUAAAUCUAUUUAAGGCGGAUACGUAGGCAAUCCAUGAUUCGGUCCAACCAAUUUGCAAAAAUGUUAGAGCCUAUAGAAUAACAAGAAUAAAAAAUAGAGUCCCUUACUGAAAUUUAAUUACUUGAAAUCCAGGUCGAAAGAAAAAAAAAAUUUAAGUCAAAGGAAGAAUCCAAGUCAUCAAGAUGCCAAAAUGAGCACACACCGAAAAAUAAUAAGGGCACGUACCCUUGCCAGAAAGAGCACUCACACUCCUAGGCACUUAGCCAAUACUCAAAAGAUCGCUUUGCCUCAAUUGAAUGGGGGCUAGCGCGAGCAUCCAUGACCUCUAAAGUACUCAACUUGACCCUCCCUAAAGCAAAGUAACUCACUCAAAGACCUUCUUUCACCACUAGACACAGUCAUAAUCGCCAACAAGUAGUAAAGGCAGUAAGCUUGCAAUAAAAAGGAUUAUUCUACGACCUCGCCCCAUCGUUCCUUCGAACACAGGGCACCCAUUCAUGGUAAUUCGAAUGCUUGCUAAUCCCCUUUGAAAAAAUCAGACAUUGUCAAUAGGACUUGGCACUUAACCAGGGCUCACCCUACUUAGACAAAUGACACGGGCAUCUAAAAUCGAAAUCUGAAAGCAUCACUAAUGAGAAGACAUAAUAGCAACUGGGGGCUAAAAAUUGAAAUGAAAGAGCUAGGGAAAGAACUAAGUAUACCUUGACCUUUUGUACAGACAUACACCAAGUAAAUCUAAAUCAAUUUGAAAGCGGUUUAUAUUUCCGCAAUCCUGGAAAAGAUGGCCCUAAAAUCCUAAAGCAUAUGCCACACGGGCACAAGUAAUAUCUUGACGCCUGCACCCUGGCUUCCAGCAAAUCCUUAGACAGCAUUCCAAAAAUCGUAACAGUAUUUUGAUUCACUCACGUAAUCCUGUAAGAACCCUUCUAUAAGUCAACUUACCUAGGACACCUCGGAUUCUACACAAUAGGACUCGGAUUUCAAAUAAUUUUCAAAGACUUCUUCGAACAUAAUAAAGUGUCGUUGGUUUAAGCUAAGUAUGCGUUUAUCUCGAUGUUGCAAGUGAGUCAAAAAGAUUUCUAAAUAUGAUUAUGGGUAAAGAAAGGCACCUAGCUUUUGGUCAAGGCACACUUCAACAUGUGACUACCUUGACCAUGGCAAUGUCGCACAAUACGACAUUUACAAGAGAAGUAGCAAAUCACUACUCGAACGUACCUCGCACUAAACGAGUCUGGUUCAAACUAUUCAUGAUCCAUGUCACCAUGAAUGCAUAAAAACGUAUGCCAAGCAUUAUAGCACCAAGCCAAUCCCAUAGCUACAAUUGGGGGCUUGAGAAAAACACUCUAAAAAUGCUCGAAAUGACGAUUUUAUCACAAAUUCUCGACGCUAAUGCUAUACACACGUCAAAGGGGCACAAUCCUAAGGUUUGAUCGUGUAAAACGAACUUUAGAAUGGCUACAACCCCUCCCAAGUUCUAAGCGUUACUUAGAAUAUAUAAAGUCACCCCACUAACAAGGGUAACUGAAAAUCGCGAGUCACCAAAACUCCGAUCAGACUACUGCACAUAACGCUCGCCCUACAAGCGCCCGUUACACAGUCUACGUCGUUCCAAAGCAAAAGCGAAAGAAAAAUCAAGGAUAAAAAAAAAAAAAAAAACAUCUAUGAAUCCUCGCAUCGAACGAAGUAAUAAGCCAUGCACACCCACGCAGAAGGUGCUACACUUGUUCAAGCACCUGAACGAGGCGUGAUGAAGUACUCCAAUGCAAAAAAUAAUAAUAAUGUCCCAACACCUGGAGGUAUGAUCUAAGACACGAUGUUAGGCCACACAAGCCUACGUCGCACCAUAAGUUUAACCAUCCCACGGUACAAGUCUAAAAAAAAGAGUAAGGCAUAUUGCACUAAUGCAGGCACGACCAAGAGCAUGUGUAAAAGAGGCAAAGACUACUUAUCGCCCAAAUUCAAAAUGCAAGCCACACGACUUCUACAUUAAGGAUUAAAGGUAGCAAAACAUUACCUACCACGGAAGGGAUAGCUCGCACCUACACGAGCGGAACCCCAAGGUAUCUUUCUCGAAAGAACCUACAAAAAUCGUACGCCAAAAGGAAGCAUCCCAACAUGCAUACUUGGGGGCUCCAAGCUACGAAAUGACCAUAGCGAAAAAAAAAGUCUCAAAGCAAAUGUUUGAAUGAUCAAAAGGGCACGAUGUUUGGUCCCACUUCAGGAAUGAGCCGGAACCCUAUAAAGCUUCUAAGCAAACUAUUCAACAUCUGUUAAUGCUAAAAAAAAAAUGAUUCAAGCGAACUGAUUAAUGGACCGCACGCAACGGCCAUUCUAUGAACGCUCGUUCGCACAUAUGUUCUAAGUAUCGAACACUCACGAACACGUUCAAAAGAAAAAAAUAUAAGUUCAAAAUAACAACAAGAGCGAUCAAAGUCUUACGCCUCAAGGUAUGUUCCUCGGGUCAUAUAGACUCGCCCGACUAUUGCAAUACCUGUACGCCUUAAGAGCAACAGUUCCUUUAAAUAAUCGCCCCAAAGCGACAAACACCGUAGUCCACCAAUCGGCUAUGGCUUCUCGAGAAAUCAUCACGAGAAAGUCCGGCCUGGGACGCACUUUCAACGCCCAGGAUCAGGCGCCAGAUAUUCCGACGCCCAGCUCUUGGCGCUGAAAAUCAGCUCAUCUCAUUGUGAUCUCUAAAAUUAUACGUCCCAAAAAUAAAGAAAAACUAAAGAGAAGAGAAUACAUAGAAUUUCCAAGUGAAAUAAACGAACGAACAAGAGGCCAACUGUGUCAUCAAAAGACCAGCCCAAACAACAUUUUCAACGCCCAACCUAGGGCAAUAAUUAUUUCAACGCCCGGGCCUGGGCGCCCGAAAUGAACCCAGGCUCAAAAAAGGCCCUAACUUCUAUAGGGCCCUGCCGUAUCCGUUCGACCCGAAAAUUGCCGAUUUCUUCACUGAAAGUCGCACUCCACGACUUCAUCAAAGUAGCAUACCACUACAAAGAUUGCUCGCACUUACGAGCACGAUCCCCAAACACGAUCAAGGACAUUACAAAAUGCGUAUCCCCAAGGAACCUCUUUGACAAGAAAUGACCGUCAAGAAGGAAUGCUUGGGGGCUCAAAAGAAAAUAUAUAUUUCAAAAGAGAGUAUGCAAAGUUAAAACAAUAUUCCCAGACUACGUUGUACGAAGUCCCGUGUUUGGAUAAUCUCAAAAGAUAAAACCGGAUUACGACCUCAAAGACAAAGGUCGCCGUUGAUACUUACACAUAGUCCCCUAAUCAAGGACCCAGGUAGUGGCAAAAUUGAGCCGUAAAGACUAGCUCAAAACCAUGAAAGAUGAUGACUACGAGACAAUGGUCCGUCUAAGCACGUUGUCAACUCACAUUCAGGUUGCAACUAAAUCCGAGCAUCCCUCGAAAGAAAAUAAAUCUGUCAAAAAACAAAAACAGGCUCGCCAUCUUCAGCCGGCAGGGUCUGCGUCACUAACCGCGCAGAUCCUCAGUUUUCGAAAAUGAAAAGAAAAUAGAAUCUUCAAAAAAAAUAGGCUCGCCCACCUUCAGCGGGCGGGGGCUUGCGUCACUAACCGCGCAGGUCCUCAGUUUUCAAAAAUGAAAUGUUCAAAAACACAAAACAGGCUCGCCAUCUUCAGCCGGCGGGGUCUACGUCACAAACCGCGCAGGUCCUUAUUUUCAAAACAUCAAAACAGAUUCGUCCACUUCUAUCGGACGGGGCUUCCACCCUCAGCGGACAGGCUCGCCCACCUUCAGCGGGCGGGGUCUGCGUCACUAACCACGCAGGUCCUUAGUCGCUGCAGCGAUAACUUUUCCCGGUUUAUCCUUUUCCAAAAAUCAAAGGAUGGUUUAUCUUUUUCCAAAAAUCAAAGGAUGGUUUAUCUUUUUCCAAAAAUCAAAAGAUGGUUUAUCUUUUUCCAAAAAUCUAAAGAUGGUUUAUCUUUUUCCAAAAAUCAAAAGAUGGUUUCUCUUUUCAAAAAAAUCAAAAAAUUGGUUUUCCGCUUUUCCAAAAAAGAGCGAUGUGUUGGAUUUUCCUUCGUUUUACGUCCUAUAAAAACAAGGGGGUUUUCUCGUUUAGCUAACCCUAAAAAUGAGAAUCUUUAAAAACAUUUUUACCUCGUGAUCGGGCUUGGCCAGGCCUGGUUACACUUUAUAGCUUUGAUUUCGUAAACGUUUGUAGAUACUUCCAAUGACAAAGUGAGGGAGUUUCUAUACAUUUGUAGGUACUUCCAAUGACAAAGUGAGGGAGUUUCUAUACUUAACAAAUUCCAAUGACACGUGAGGAAUGUGUUAACACUUCAAGUGAUGACCCUUAAGUCAAAUGUUAUCACUCGGGGGCUCGUGAGACCCUCGCAAAGCAGGUCACAUAUACCAUGGCUUGUAUGACGCACUCCGUCUGAUACUUUGACCAUCGUCUUACUCCAAGACUCAGUCAAAGUGGGGGCUAACUGUAGACACCUACUUUUGUCCCCAUUCCCGAAAGGGAAGGUUCGAUGAUGAGAACAUAAAUCUCCACUUGGCAAAGCAUCUCCUAUAAAAUAAAGAAUCUCAAUCACCCUUUCAUUUCAGCCAAAACCGCUAUUUAUAGAAACCUGCUAAAAAUAGUAGCUGCCGUAAAAGGUAAUUGCUAAAAGUAGUAAGAAUAAAAAGAUAGAAACCUGUCAGAAUCAGGUGUUGCACUCCAACAUAAAUCCUAAAAGAGAUAGAAAUUGUAAAAGGAAUUCUAUUUCUAUCGCAAUUCGAUAAAAGAGGUAACGUAUUAAUUAAACUCAUAACGAACCUAGAGUUCGUAAAGGGCCCAGACACAUUCCGUCGUAAAUUGAUACGCACCAAAUAACUCGGAUUAAGUCUCUUAAUGGACUCCGUACUCUAGAGUCCAAUCUGACAAAGAAUUCUGCCCAGAUCCUAUUAUCAACGCCCAGUCCUGGGCGCCGAAAUCUUUGACGCCCAGUGCUGGGCGUCGAAAAUACCUGGGACGGAUUCUUUUCCUAAUCCGUUUCGUAUUCAUAUUCCUGAAAAUCUAUCUUUCUACGCCACUUUUUCCUAUAAAUAGAGCCCUAAAGACGACGUGAAAAGAACAACACACACACAAUUCAUAAUCUGAGUAUUGACUCCAACCCUAAGCCUAAGCCUCACGCUGCGAAAUUGAUCCAGCGUUCUGUCGCAAUCGACCCAAAAGUCGAACAGAACGUAUCAUGUCCCUUGUAGCUGAUGAAUUAAGCCUAAAUACUGGAACACUGCUCAGAAACUCGAGAUUCGUUAAAUAAAAGGAGAAAUAGCAAAGCCAAGUGGUUAGUUUUCUGAGAACCGUGACGCACCUCUCAAGGGUGCGUCGUAAUGUGUCGAUCCCUUCUUAUGAUUUAAUCGCUUUCAUCAUCCUUUUAUAAAAUUGUUAAACUAUUAAUUUGAUUGAUCUAUCACGCCUAAUAAAGAUAAUACCUUGGACAAUUGAACUAUCAUGCUAGGUACCUUAAAUCAAUCUAAACAAGAUAAUCACGAUCGAUUUAGUAUUAUGUGUUGCAUAUUGCUAAAAUCAAUUCAGAAUAGUUUAAUAGUUAACGCAUGUCCCUUCAAUUAUUUAUGCUGAGCUAGUAAGGAUAAACUGCCUCUAGAGUUAUCGAUGAGCACUCCUCUCGGUAGUUACAGUCCCCCGAACACUCAAUCUCUGCCCUGCGGGUGUACGUUGAGCGAUCCCCACACCAGGGAUCACAAGGGAACCUAUGGCCGUCGUGGUCGAACAUAAGUGCACUCCCUUUAUGUCACGAUAACCGGGUUUUGUCAGUUUUUCUCAUUGUCAUUAAAAACUGAAUGGCGACUCCUAUAUUACUAGUCGAUUGGGUGUAAACUCACAGGAAAUCUAACUACACUUGAUCUGACGACAUCACGCCGACGAGGGACGAGGUCAUGCAUUAGCCUCGUGCAUUUUCGACCCCCUCACAGGUAAUGUCCUUUAACUUUAUUCGGUACCCACCAAAGGGUAACAUCCAGAUUAAUUCUCUCUUAUACGUUCUUGGUAGUGUCCUUACCUAUAUCCGGUAGCGACCAACAACAGAGAUAAUGGGUUGUAUUCAGUUGAAACAGGACUGGUUUCUACCAUCUGUGCAGGUUAAUGAUGAUACAGGAAGUCUGUGUAUUAAACGCUUCGACAUUGAUAAGGAGAGAUUGAUUCCAAUCAUAGAGAGUUGCACGGAAACCGAGUGUAACAUAGCUGCAUAUGUGCUAGACGAUGACAGAGAUAUGGGUAAACUCUAAUUUACCUUCCGCGGCUAAAAGUAAUUGAGAAAUAUUUUUGAAACGUGUGCCCCUCUGUUUACACCGUGAAUUAUUAAUUAAGAACCGGUGGAUUAAAACGACGCUGCUUGAGUUACGCGAUUUCUAUCCCUGGACCACAAUUUCAGAAACGGCGAUGAACUGCGUUGGCAUUAGAAUUACGGAAAUGAAUCCUUGUGUGUGGUAUAUUCCCACACACCUCAAGGACAUGGAUUAUACCAAACUGAAGGCCGAAGGUUCCAUUGGGAAAUCAGACACUUACUUUCCAUACAAGAACCCUGUGAACUCAGAGUACUUGCCAACUGACCCAGACCUGUGCCAUACCAUAUUAAUCCCGUGUUUUUUCGAAAAUCCAGAUCAUUGGUCCUACUCGUUGUAAACAUGAUAUCAUGUCAGGGGUAUUUGUAUGACUCGUGUAUUGAUGAUAUACUUUCCUUAAACCGGAUCAAGAUUGCAAGGGGGCAAGUAUUUCAUAUGAAAAAUUGCUCAAAUAUCUUGUCAUGCAACUGGAAACAACACCCCAAGCGCAACAGAUUCACUAGUAUGCGGACGUGGGCAGUCAUUCCAAAUCCCUUAUUCCCACAACAAACAAACGAGUUCGAUUGCGGAAUGUAUGUGAUUAAGGUAUUGAUGGAUACAAGUUCUCAGUACAACAAAUGGGAAUACUACCAAAAUUUGGAUGUGUGUCGGCUUAAGACGUUGGCAUGGUUAAUGGGCUGGGAAAACAACUACAUCAAAGAUGAGGUGUUAAAGAUGGUAGAAGCAUGUGCGAAACAAAAGUAGAGUUUGGAGUAGUCAAGCCUUGUGUAUUUGGAGUAGUCUAGCCUUGUGUAUAUUCAACUACAAAUUUUUACAAAUUUAGGUAACGACCAUUAAUGUAGAUGGACACUGUCAAAAUUAGAUUGAGAUUGUUGUUGAAUGAUGUAUUGUAAUGUCCAUUUUUUAUGUUUGGUAGUUAUCCUCCACAUUAUUUAAAGUAAAUGGAUUUAUAAAUUAAACCUUAAUAAGUCGAAAAUGGUA